rnacentral:lncRNA from 1 species
GUUACGGAGGCCGUAGAUCGCCUGGUGGAUGCCUUUCGGGGAGGCAUCAGGUGGAGAUCUGGCAGGAGAAGAGGAAAAAAAUAUCGAAGAAGAUGACCGGAGACAGUCCCAUUGAGUACUCCUUUAAGAAUAAGGGUCCUGCGAAGACACAGACCCUCCCUCUAGCGCCAAUUCUGUUGAUACAGAAUUUCACCGAUGCUGGAGAAGCUGGAGUCGAAGGAAUCACGGCCACCGUCGGGACCUGCAAGAGAAGUCUAAACCAGAGUUGGGGGUGCUCCGGCAAGACCCUCCGACGCUCAAGUCAGUACUCUGCUUCAACAGAAAUGGAGCACUCGAAUGGAAUUUUAGCAGAAUUUCGAGAUAGAGUUUAGAGCUUAAAGGAGAACGUAUCUAGGAGAUCUUUUUUAUAGAUGGAAGAGCGUAACCGAUUGAUAGUGACGUUCGUAACUACCUGAUAGUGGGCCGUUCAGGACCACGUGGAGUUUGUUACGGAGAGUGGAGUGGUGUCUGUUAUCGCGACUUGCCAGAGAGUGGUGAGGCCACGUGGAAUCUGUUACAGAGAGUGGAGUGGUGUCCAUUAUCGUGACUUGCCGGAGAGUUCGGGCUGGACGGCUGAAGCUCGACUGGAACGUCUAAUGGAGCAGAAUGGCUUUCUAUCUCAGCAAUCUAAGAGAAGCUCGAAUAUUUUCGAGAUUGCUGACGAGUCCACUGUUGUUGGGUGCCUUAGGCGCUGAUGCUGCAGCGAAAGUCAUCUGUUGUAGAAGCUCGAACGGAAACUUUCUGUUGGAGAAGUCCGGUAGGAGUCUGAUUGCUAGAGAAGUCCGUCUGAAAU